GCGGAUGUUGUGGAUCGACAAGUGCCAAAGUCGCUUCGAUCAUCCUGAUCAUUAUUGGAAUAAUAUUCAUCAUUGCGGCAAUAGUUUUUGUGCCACUGGUUGGUGGUCCGGCAAAUAUCGGAAGAGCGAUGUUGAUAACAGAGGGCGUGCUCGUUCUCAUCUUUGCCUACAAUGCAGAAAAUAGAUGUUGGAUGAUAACAGUCAACGUUGUUUCUAUUAUUAUGGUGGUUAUCUCGGUUGUAUGGCUAAUUGGAAGCCUAUUUUUUGCUGGAAUAUUAAUCGCCCUCAAAGUGGGUUGUAGUAAUUGCGGUAAAGAUGACUACCUCUGCAACGAAAGUGUGGUAUUUAUUUUGAGUAUGUUAUCCCCAGCGCAGUAUUUAUGGUUCUAUUCUCAGCCAUUACUCUUGUGACGUCCAUCGUGCUGGUUGUUUCAUCCUGCACCUGCUGCAGAUCAAACAUGGAUUCUGCUCCAUUAUAAUGCUAGUGUUGGAUCGUUGCUUAUUCUGCUGAGCCAAAUGUUACAAUGCAUGUACUGUAUGCCUAAACAUCAACGGGGACGUACAUUAUUGCACCUAAUUUGUAUUAAUUCUUAUUCAAUACGUAUUUUAUGAAUUAUAAGAAUUAUCAAUCAACCAAGUCUCUUUUCUUUUGUAAAAAUGUUGAAUUUAAAUGUGUGAGUUGAAAUUCCCAUCAUUAGGAUACAUUAAUGUAAAAAAAGUAAACGUAGAAGGUAGGCCUACAAUAUCGAAUACAGUAAGGCUCAUUGGUUAAUGUAGGCCUAUCGGUAGUUUUUUAUAUGCAAUAUUUCAAUUUUCUAACAUUACUUCAUAUAUGCUUUUGUAAAAUAUUUAAUAAAAAUGUAAUUUA